rnacentral:rRNA from 1 species
UACAAAGGAAUUGACGGGUCCCCGCACAAGCAGCGGAGCGUGUGGUUUAAUUCGUUGCUACACGAAGAACCUUACCUGGGUUUGACAUAGCAGUGGUAGGGAAGAGAAAUCGGACCGACCCUUCGGGGAGCUGUUACAGGUGUUGCAUGGCUGUCGUCAGCUCGUGUCGUGAGAUGUUCGGUUAAGUCCGCUAACGAGCGCAACCCGCGUUGUGUGUUAUAUGUGUCACACAAUACCGCCGGUAUUAAGCCGGAGGAAGGUGCGGAUGACGUCAAGUCAGCAUGACCUUUAUAUCCAGGGCUACACACACGCUACAAUGGACAGUACAACAGGUUGCCAAGCCGCGAGGCGGAGCCAAUCCUCUAAAGCUGUCCUCAGUUCAGAUUGCAGGCUGCAACUCGCCUGCAUGAAGUUGGAGUUGCUAGUAACCGCAGGUCAGCUAUACUGCGGUGAAUACGUUCCCGGGGAUU